rnacentral:rRNA from 1 species
CAUGUCUAAGUAUAAGCAAUUAUACAGCGAAACUGCGAAUGGCUCAUUAUAUAAGUUAUCGUUUAUUUGAUAGUACCUUACUACUUGGAUAACCGUGGUAAUUCUAGAGCUAAUACAUGCUGAAAAUCCCGACUUCGGAAGGGAGGUAUUUAUUAGAUUAAAAACCAAUGCCCUCUGGGCUCCUUGGUGAUUCAUAAUAACUUUUCGAAUCGCACGGCCUCGCGCCGGCGAUGGUUCAUUCAAAUUUCUUCCCUAUCAACUUUCGAUGUUUGGGUAUUGGCCAAACAUGGUCGCAACGGGUAACGGAGGGUUAGGGCUCGACCCCGGAGAAGGAGCCUGAGAAACGGCUACUACAUCCAAGGAAGGCAGCAGGCGCGCAAAUUACCCAAUCCCGAUUCGGGGAGGUAGUGACAAUAAAUACUGAUACAGGGCUCUUUUGGGUCUUGUAAUUGGAAUGAGUACAAUUUAAAUCUCUUAACGAGGAACAAUUGGAGGGCAAGUCUGGUGCCAGCAGCCGCGGUAAUUCCAGCUCCAAUAGCGUAUAUUAAAGUUGUUGUGGUUAAAAAGCUCGUAGUUGAACCUUGGGCCUGGCUGGCCGGUCCGCCUCACCGCGUGUACUGGUCCGGCCGGGCCUUUCCCUCUGUGGAACCUCAUGCCCUUCACUGGGUGUGGCGGGGAAACAGGACUUUUACUUUGAAAAAAUUAGAGUGCUCCAGGCAGGCCUAUGCUCGAAUACAUUAGCAUGGAAUAAUAAAAUAGGACGCGUGGUUCUAUUUUGUUGGUUUCUAGGACCGCCGUAAUGAUUAAUAGGGACAGUCGGGGGCAUCAGUAUUCAAUUGUCAGAGGUGAAAUUCUUAGAUUUAUUGAAGACUAACUACUGCGAAAGCAUUUGCCAAGGAUGUUUUCAUUAAUCAGGAACGAAAGUUAGGGGAUCGAAGACGAUCAGAUACCGUCGUAGUCUUAACCAUAAACUAUGCCGACUAGGGAUCGGACGAUGUUAUUUUUUGACGCGUUCGGCACCUUACGAGAAAUCAAAGUGCUUGGGCUCCAGGGGGAG